rnacentral:RNase_P_RNA from 1 species
CGAGUCGGCCGGACGGCCGCGGGCAGGGGAACCGGCGCCGACAGGCGAGAAGGCCCAGGUCCGAGGAAAGUCCGGACUCCACAGAGCAGGGUGGUUGCUAACGGCAACCCGGGGUGACCCGCGGGACAGUGCCACAGAAAACAGACCGCCGCGCCUGCGGGCGAGGUAAGGGUGAAACGGUGCGGUAAGAGCGCACCAGCGCCCCGGGCGACCGGGGCGGCUAGGUAAACCCCACCCGGAGCAAGGUCAAAGGCCGCACCGCCUGCGGUGCGGCUGCGCGGAUGGUGUGCAGCGAUGCACGGAAGGGCUGCUCGCCCGAGUCCGCGGGUGGACCGCUCGAGGCACCCGGCGACGGUGUGCCCAGAUGGAUGGUCGUCGCCCCUCCGCAUGCGGAGGGGCACAGGAUCCGGCUUACAGGCCGACUCGUUCG